UACGAAGGGGGGCAAGCGUUUGUUCGGAAUUAUUGGGCGUAAAGGGCGCGUAGGCGGCUCGGCACGUCCGUUGUGAAAUCGCCCGGCUCAACUGGGCGGGGUCAGCGGAUACGGUCGAGCUUGAGCAAGCUAGGGGGCAAUGGAAUUCCCGGUGUAGUGGUGGAAUGCGUAGAUAUCGGGAGGAACACCAGUGGCGAAGGCGGUUGCCUGGAGCUUUGCUGACGCUGAGGCGCGAAA
rnacentral:rRNA from 1 species